GAUGAACGCUGGCGGCGUGCCUAACACAUGCAAGUCGAACGAAGUACCUUUUAAUAUUCUUCGGAUGAUUGAUUGGUGACUGAGUGGCGGACGGGUGAGUAACGCGUGGGUAACCUGCCCUGUACAGGGGGAUAACAGUUGGAAACGGCUGCUAAUACCGCAUAAGCGCACGAGAGGACAUCCUCUUGUGUGAAAAACUCCGGUGGUACAGGAUGGGCCCGCGUCUGAUUAGCUGGUUGGCAGGGGAACGGCCUACCAAGGCGACGAUCAGUAGCCGGUCUGAGAGGAUGAACGGCCACAUUGGAACUGAGACACGGUCCAAACUCCUACGGGAGGCAGCAGUGGGGAAUAUUGCACAAUGGGGGAAACCCUGAUGCAGCAACGCCGCGUGAGUGAAGAAGUAUUUCGGUAUGUAAAGCUCUAUCAGCAGGGAAGAUAAUGACGGUACCUGACUAAGAAGCUCCGGCUAAAUACGUGCCAGCAGCCGCGGUAAUACGUAUGGAGCAAGCGUUAUCCGGAUUUACUGGGUGUAAAGGGUGCGUAGGUGGCAGUGCAAGUCAGAUGUGAAAGGCCGGGGCUCAACCCCGGAGCUGCAUUUGAAACUGCUCGUCUAGAGUACAGGAGAGGCAGGCGGAAUUCCUAGUGUAGCGGUGAAAUGCGUAGAUAUUAGGAGGAACACCAGUGGCGAAGGCGGCCUGCUGGACUGUUACUGACACUGAGGCACGAAAGCGUGGGGAGCAAACAGGAUUAGAUACCCUGGUAGUCCACGCCGUAAACGA
rnacentral:rRNA from 1 species